AGAAACUCUGCCUUCACCUGAUCCAAGGCUGCCCUUUGCUCUUCUGACAACUCCCAUUUUUCCUGCACUAUCUCAUUCUCCGGGCCUUCCACAUAGUGAGCGACUUGAUCAGCCAGCACUUCUUCCACUAAUCUGUGAGAUGCCCCUACUGGACCUUCUCCCAUCACCUCAGGAGCCAAUGAGAAUACCCGCCAAAAGUCUACCCCCAAAAGAAUAUCGACGAGCCUCCACGCCCAGCUUCUCCAGGAAUUCCUGACCAUUACACCCUAGCAUGCU